ACCGGAUAGGACGAAAGUUUAAAGGUGCUUCUGGCACCGCUGAUGGAUGAGCCUGCGGCGCAUUAGCUAGUUGGUAGGGUAAAGGCCUACCAAGGCGACGAUGCGUAGCCGACCUGAGAGGGUGAACGGCCACACUGGGACUGAGACACGGCCCAGACUCCUACGGGAGGCAGCAGUAGGGAAUCUUCGGCAAUGGGCGAAAGCCUGACCGAGCAACGCCGCGUGAAUGAUGAAGGCCUUCGGGUUGUAAAAUUCUGUUAUAAGGGAAGAACGACUUUAGUAGGAAAUGGCUAGAGUGUGACGGUACCUUAUGAGAAAGCCACGGCUAACUACGUGCCAGCAGCCGCGGUAAUACGUAGGUGGCGAGCGUUAUCCGGAAUUAUUGGGCGUAAAGAGCGCGCAGGUGGUUGAUUAAGUCUGAUGUGAAAGCCCACGGCUUAACCGUGGAGGGUCAUUGGAAACUGGUCGACUUGAGUGCAGAAGAGGGAAGUGGAAUUCCACGUGUAGCGGUGAAAUGCGUAGAGAUAUGGAGGAACACCAGUGGCGAAGGCGGCUUCCUGGUCUGUAACUGACACUGAGGCGCGAAAGCGUGGGGAGCAAACAGG
rnacentral:rRNA from 1 species